rnacentral:rRNA from 1 species
AUUGAACGCUGGCGGAAUGCUUUACACAUGCAAGUCGAGCGGCAGCGCGGGGCAACCUGGCGGCGAGCGGCGAACGGGUGAGUAACACAUCGGAACGUACCCAGUCAUGGGGGAUAGCCCGGCGAAAGCCGGAUUAAUACCGCAUACGACCUGAGGGUGAAAGUGGGGGAUCGCAAGACCUCACGUGAUUGGAGCGGCCGAUGGCGGAUUAGCUAGUUGGUAGGGUAAAGGCCUACCAAGGCGACGAUCCGUAGCGGGUCUGAGAGGACGACCCGCCACACUGGAACUGAGACACGGUCCAGACUCCUACGGGAGGCAGCAGUGGGGAAUUUUGGACAAUGGGCGAAAGCCUGAUCCAGCCAUUCCGCGUGAGUGAAGAAGGCCUUCGGGUUGUAAAGCUCUUUCGGCAGGAACGAAACGGUGAGUUCGAAUAAAGCUCACUAAUGACGGUACCUGAAGAAGAAGCACCGGCUAACUACGUGCCAGCCGCCGCAGUAACAC